UACGUAGGGUGCAAGCGUUGUCCGGAAUCAUUGGGCGUAAAGAGCGUGUAGGCGGCCUCGUAAGUCCGCUGUGAAAGUCCAGGGCUCAACCCUGGGAUGCCGGUGGAUACUGCGAGGCUAGAGUCCGGAAGGGGCGAGUGGAAUUCCUGGUGUAGCGGUGAAAUGCGCAGAUAUCAGGAGGAACACCAAUGGCGAAGGCAGCUCGCUGGGACGUGACUGACGCUGAGACGCGAAAGCGUGGGGAGCAAACAGG
rnacentral:rRNA from 1 species